rnacentral:rRNA from 1 species
UACGAAGGGAGCUAGCGUUGUUCGGAAUCACUGGGCGUAAAGGGUGCGUAGGCGGGGCUUUAAGUCAGGGGUGAAAUCCUGGAGCUCAACUCCAGAACUGCCUUUGAUACUGAAGAUCUUGAGUCCGGGAGAGGUGAGUGGAACUGCGAGUGUAGAGGUGAAAUUCGUAGAUAUUCGCAAGAACACCAGUGGCGAAGGCGGCUCACUGGCCCGGUACUGACGCUGAGGUGCGAAAGCGUGGGGAGCAAACAGG